CACCAAUCCCUCGCAUCCCUCAACAGCCUAUCCGUCCGCUCCCCUCUUCCCCUGCCCUCCUUUGCGCCGCCGCCUCCUCCCCUUCCCUCCUCUGCGCCGCCUCCUCCUCCCCUGCUCUCCACUGCAUCGCCUCCUCCUCCCCUGCUCUCCACUGCACCGCCUCCUCCCCUUCACUUUUCUCUCCCGUGGCGGCGACAACCUACAGGCAAAAGGCGACGGCAAUGUCGCUCAAUUUGAUCUGCAGGAGAGAGAAGGAAGGAGAGGAGGGAGAAAGGAAGAGGAAAGAGAAAAGGGAGGUGCGGCGAUGGAUGGGUGAGGGUCACCGGAAGGAGCGCCGCCGGCUCGUCGCCUUUCACACCGAGGUGGAGCAAAUAUGCCUCCGUACAACCCUCAUGCUCGCAGGGGCCUUGCAAGAAGUGGAAGGUAGAGGUCGUACGCCAGCCGGAGCAGCAGGAGCAAGUAUCUGGCGCCAUCUGCCUCCCUGUUGCACAACACCACUGCAUCUCCUUCCUGUUUUAUUUUUAGUUUUUACAUGUUCAGAUAUAGGUUGGCUUGAUCUCUUGUGUCAGGGAGGUGCGAGGUUAGGCAUUUAGGCAAUGGCAGCCACAGUUUCAGUGAAGGAUGUCCAUGCCAUGUGCAAUGAGGGAUAGGCCAUCAGCACAACCGUCCUUUGGGUCCUGAUGAAAGUCACUGUCAGUGGCAGGGAAUUCGUUGCCGGAUGCGUCCUAUAUGUGAUGGGUGUGUUCCCAUCCAGUCGUUGGUGGGGUUGAUGUGCCCGUCGAUUCGGCGAUCCGCGGGCCAAGCUCAUCUUCUCAGUGGCGGACUGAUGUUCUAUGGUAGUGGCAGUCAUUGUAUGUGGUGGUGCAGUUGCUGAUGUACAGGAGGCGUCCAUGGUGUUAGUUCUCCAUCGUCCAUGCUUAUCUUCUGUAUGCUCUAGCAGCCAGGUGGCUCAAGAAAUAGAAGACGACUCAUGUUCAGCUGGUCCCUCAUCGCCGGGAGGACGGGCGAGGAGGUCGAGGCCCACUGGGGUUAUUGAGGAGGUGCACGGGCAGCAAUCACUACAACCAUCAUGUGCUACUGCAGGCUUUCCUAGCCUCGUCACAUGAUCAACACGGCGAGCAUCGGCAAAGGGCAGUGCCAAACCAAGUACGCGAGGAUUAAACAUGGCGAUGACGACUGUGCAUCAUGGGACGCCUACAGCAUGUGCCUUGCUGAAGUAAACAUGGAGCUCACCCUCUCUACGCCGUGCAUCACAUCUACUUAAUUUGGAGGGUUACACCAGGUGUUUAUAUACUUCGGUCGAUGGUUUCUGUGCCUUGAGGAACAAUCCUAUUAUUGUACUAUGCGUACUGACUAUAUAUGUAUGACACAUAAAUCCUCACAAGUUGGAACCCAUCACUGCUCCUGCUCGACCGUGACUCCACGCGCAAGGUCCGCCUAGCCACGCAUAGGUCACGCCGCCGGCUGUCGAGCCUCCUGUUCCACCCUGCAGUGUGUUCGAACAGCCGAAGCUGAGUAUGCGAAGAUUCAUAAUGCAUGGAAGCAAUGACUGUUGCUGGCUUUGAAGCUGGUUGAGGUUGUUGCUUGCCGUUGGUUGUAGGUAGAGGCCUUGUGGUGGUCCAAGAUUCUUACAUAGUGUUGUGCCUGGUUUCUUCUUGAAGGAUUUGUUGCGAAAGCUGGGAAUGUUAAGAGGAAUCUGCUUUGAGAGGUGUCGUAGUCUGAGAGGAAACGAUUUCUUCUAGGCCAGUGGUGUUCCUUUGCGCUAUAGCCAGUGCGCUAUCUCCUAGGUUAUCUCAUAUAAAGCCAUGAACCUAGCAUGAACUCGAAAUAUAAACCAUUGUAUAUGAAGAUGCUAUCUGAGUACGUAUUUGCAUGUUCGUAGAUCUACUACAUAUGCUUUAUUAUGUAUAAAUAUGCCAUAACCUAUCAUGGAGGAGGUUGACAUCACAGACAAGUUCAUGCUUGAGGUCAUUUUCAUUAAGCUGCAGCUCGCGCAACCACUAUUUUUACUACUGCAAAGUUGGACAGAGGUUUGCAGUAACAAUCAAGCUCCGUCCCAGCACGCGGCAUGAGCGACAUGAUGCUGAAGCAAUGGCACUAUCCGGAUAUUCAUCUAAUUCCAUAGAAGUUGCAACGGAUGUUGCAGCGGCUCGAGUUAUCAGAUACAUGGAGGCUGUGUGUGCCAAGGUGCUCAAGGACUAUAGUUACAACGAACUGAAACAAACAAAGGAAAGAGAAUUGCAUCUAAUUGGUUUGUUAAUAGACAAAGAAAAGUAGAUCAAAGAGCAGAAUUGGAAGAUCAGAGAGCUUAGCAAAGGCUUUGCAGACAAUAUGUAUCAAGUUAAAAACACUUUUGCUGGGAUUCAUCACAUAGCUAAAGAUGGUGUAUACUCAACCAGUUCUACAAACGGCAAUGACCCCACAAGGCUGAUGUUGAUGUGCAGAAUGAACUUGCUCAUCUGCAGGAUGCAGUUGAUUGACUAAUGACCCUAUGCAGCUGAUUCGAAACACGUUGGUUCAUCCCUUUUAAAUAGUGUCUACUUCCAUGCCUAUGUACCUUUGGAAGAUGCUUACCGGCUAUAACAACUUUAUUUAAAUGACCAGCGACACUGUGCUAACUAAUUAGCCUGUGAAGUUUUGUGUAUAGGUUCACCUAAAGAACAUGUUUACUUUUGGCACUACUCUCUGGUCAUCAUGUUUACUCUACUAAGCUACCUAAAUAGCCUAUGAAGCUUUGUGUGUAUAGCUUCACCCUAAGAACCCGUUUGCUUUUGGCACUACUCUCUGGUCAUAUAUAAAUUUGGAAUGCAUGAUGCUAUGUUGUAUCCAUGUGAUAUAUCUA